rnacentral:rRNA from 1 species
GACGAACGCUGGCGGCGUGCUUAACACAUGCAAGUCGAACGGAAAGGCCCUGCUUUUGUGGGGUGCUCGAGUGGCGAACGGGUGAGUAACACGUGAGUAACCUGCCCUUGACUUUGGGAUAACUUCAGGAAACUGGGGCUAAUACCGGAUAGGAGCUCCUGCUGCAUGGUGGGGGUUGGAAAGUUUCGGCGGUUGGGGAUGGACUCGCGGCUUAUCAGCUUGUUGGUGGGGUAGUGGCUUGCCAAGGCUUUGACGGGAAGCCGGCCUGAGAGGGUGACCGGCCACAUUGGGACUGAGAUACGGCCCAGACUCCUACGGGAGGCAGCAGUGGGGAAUAUUGCACAAUGGGCGGAAGCCUGAUGCAGCAACGCCGCGUGCGGGAUGACGGCCUUCGGGUUGUAAACCGCUUUCGCCUGUGACGAAGCGUGAGUGACGGUAAUGGGUAAAGAAGCACCGGCUAACUACGUG